rnacentral:rRNA from 1 species
ACGGACCAGACUCCACCGGGAAGAAUUAGUGGAGAAUAUAGGUGAGAGGGAGGGACCAUAAUCCAGCCCAGUCGCGUAAGGGAAGUCGGCACUACGGGCUGUAAAACUCUUUUGUCAGGGAGAAAGAACGGCUACGUGUAUCCGAGCGAGAGUACCUGAAGAAAAAGCAUCGGCUAACACCGUGCCAGCAGCCGCGGUAAUACGGAGGAUGCGAGCGUUGCGUUGAUUAAUUGGUUUUAAAUGGUGUGUAUGCGGACUACCAAGUAUGCUGUAAAAUUGAUGGUCUCAGCCGCUUCGAUCCGUUGACACUGGUGUUCUUUAGUGGGCGAGUAGUAUGCGGAUUGAGAGGAGUAGCGGUGGAAUGCUGAGUUAUUACG